rnacentral:rRNA from 1 species
GACCUGCCCAUGAAGUUAUUAAAUUGGCCGCAGUAUAUUGACUGUGCAAAGGUAGCAUAAUCAUUAGUHUUUUAAUHGAAAGCUUGUAUGAAAGGUUUGAUGAAAAGAUUUCUGUCUCUAGAAAAAUHUAUUUGAAUCUUAUUUUUAAGYGAGAAAGCUUAAAUGUACUCGGAAGACGAGAAGACCCUGUAGAGUUUAAUAUUUAAGYAAAGUAGAGAUUUUUGGUAUUAAAAAGGUUGUUUUAUUUAAUAUAUUUGGUUGGGGUGAUGGAAAAAUUAAUYAAACUUUUUUUUCAUAGGAACACUAAUUUGUGAGUGUAUGAUCCUAGGAUUUAGAUUAUAAGAAAAAAUUACCUUAGGGAUAACAGCGUAAUUUUUUCUAGAGUUCUUAUCGAAAAGAAAGAUUGCGACCUCGAUGUUGGAUUAAAAUUAAUUGUUGGUGAAGAAGCUAAUAUAUUGGGUCUGUUCGACCUUUAAAAUUUUACAUGAUCUGAGUUUAAACCGGUGUGAG